GAUGAACGCUGGCGGCGUGCCUAAUACAUGCAAGUCGAGCGAACAGAUGAGGAGCUUGCUCCUCUUACGUUAUCGUCGGACGGGUGAGUAACACGUGGAUAACCUCCCUAUAAGACUGGGAUAACUUCGUGAAACCGGAGCUAAUACCGGAUAAUAUAUUUAACCGCAUGGUUCAAUAGUGAAAGACGGUUUUGCUUUCACUUAUAGAUGGAUCCGCGCCGCAUUAGCUAGUUGGUAAGGUAACGGCUUACAAAGGCAACGAUGCGUAGCCGACCUGAUAGAGGGAUGGGCAAAAUGGGAACGGAGAAAGGGCCAAGACACCAAGGGGAGGAAGAGGGAGGAAAUCUUCGGAAAGGAGGGAAAGCUGGAGGGGGAAAGGCCGGGGGAGGGAGAAAGGUGUCGGGAUCGAAAGACUUGGUUAUUAGGGAAGAAGAAAUGUGUAAGUAAAUAUGCAAGGAUUGACGGUACCGAAUCAGAAAGCCACGGCUAACUACGUG
rnacentral:rRNA from 1 species